ensembl:lncRNA
GACUGCAUUAUGGCUGCGUCUGCUGGGUCAACUGUGAGAGAACACGGCAUGUCUGCUGCUACAGCUGCUGUGCUAGUCAGGAGAAAAUAAACACAUUUGCCGUUCCUACAGCUCCUUGAGUUUUCUUCCAGCUUCUUCGCUCUCGCCUUGACUACCGUGGGUUCAGCAAACAGUGAGAUACAGCAAGACAAGCGUCCAGCAAUAGAUGUAUUGAGGGACGGCCGAUAGAAGGAGAUACAAAUAGGAACCUUCCCAGGCCCUGGUCCAAGGUUCUGAAAAACCUCAAGCUGCUUCUAUGUUGGAAGAAUGUGGAAUAACCCUGAUUUAAGAGUGGAGAGCUGGCCGGUGAACUGGCUUUUGCUGGACUGUGUGACUCGAACCUGCAGGCUUCUAUCACUUGAUCUGGAGGGAAUCUGCUGACAUGUCAUGAGGAUACUCAAAUAUCCCUGUGGAUAAGACCACGAGGGUUAAUUCCAAAAGCCAUCAGGUGGUUCCAAGCAACGUAAGUCUGUGUGGGCGUGAAGCAGCUCAGCUGUCAGUCAGUUCAGUCGCUCAGUCGUGUCCAACUUUUGCAACCCCAUGAAU